GACGAACCGUGCGAACGUUAUUCGGAAUCACUGGGCUUAAAGGGUGCGUAGGCGGGUCUUUAAGUCAGGGGUGAAAUCCUGGAGCUCAACUCCAGAACUGCCUUUGAUACUGAGGAUCUUGAGUUCGGGAGAGGUGAGUGGAACUGCGAGUGUAGAGGUGAAAUUCGUAGAUAUUCGCAAGAACACCAGUGGCGAAGGCGGCUCACUGGCCCGAUACUGACGCUGAGGCACGAAAGCGUGGGGAGCAAACAGG
rnacentral:rRNA from 1 species